rnacentral:misc_RNA from 1 species
UCGUAACAAGGUCUCCGUUGGUGAACCAGCGGAGGGAUCAUUACCGAGUUUACAACUCCCAAACCCAUGUGAACAUACCUACUGUUGCUUCGGCGGGAUUGCCCCGGGCGCCUCGUGUGCCCCGGAUCAGGCGCCCGCCUAGGAACCUUAACUCUUGUUUUAUUUUGGAAUCUUCUGAGUAGUUUUUACAAAUAAAUAAAAACUUUCAACAACGGAUCUCUUGGUUCUGGCAUCGAUGAAGAACGCAGCGAAAUGCGAUAAGUAAUGUGAAUUGCAGAAUUCAGUGAAUCAUCGAAUCUUUGAACGCACAUUGCGCCCGCCAGUAUUCUGGCGGGCAUGCCUGUCUGAGCGUCAUUUCAACCCUCAUGCCCCUAGGGCGUGGUGUUGGGGAUCGGCCAAAGCCCGCGAGGGACGGCCGGCCCCUAAAUCUAGUGGCGGACCCGUCGUGGCCUCCUCUGCGAAGUAGUGAUAUUCCGCAUCGGAGAGCGACGAGCCCCUGCCGUUAAACCCCCAACUUUCCAAGGUUGACCUCAGAUCAGGUAGGAAUACCCGCUGAACUUAAGCAUAUCA